rnacentral:rRNA from 1 species
UUGCUCCUACGGGGGGCAGCAGUAGGGAAUCUUCCACAAUGGACGAAAGUCUGAUGGAGCAACGCCGCGUGAGUGAAGAAGGGUUUCGGCUCGUAAAGCUCUGUUGGUAGUGAAGAAAGAUAGAGGUAGUAACUGGCCUUUAUUUGACGGUAAUUACUUAGAAAGUCACGGCUAACUACGUGCCAGCAGCCGCGGUAAUACGUAGUGGGCAACGGUUUUCCGAUUUAUUUGG